UACAGAGGGUGCGAGCGUUGUCCGGAAUCACUGGGCGUAAAGGGCGCGUAGGCGGCUUGAUAAGCGUGCGGUGAAAGCCCGGGGCUCAACCCCGGGUCGGCCGUGCGAACUGUCGAGCUGGAGCACUGUAGAGGCAGGUGGAAUUCCGGGUGUAGCGGUGGAAUGCGUAGAGAUCCGGAAGAACACCGGUGGCGAAGGCGGUCUGCUGGGCAGUUGCUGACGCUGAUGCGCGACAGCGUGGGGAGCAAACGAGG
rnacentral:rRNA from 1 species